rfam:Camelus ferus unplaced genomic scaffold scaffold1120, whole genome shotgun sequence.
GAGGGUAUAGCUCAAAUGGUAGAGUGCGUGCUUACCACGCACAAGGUCCUGGGUUCAAUCCCCAGGACCUGUU